rnacentral:SRP_RNA from 1 species
GCCGGGCACGGUGGCAUGUGCCUGUAGUCCCAGUUACUUGGGAGGCUGAGGUGGGAGGAUCACUUGAGCCCAGGAGUUCUGGGCUGUAGUGUGUUAUGACGAUCAGGUGUCCGCGCUAAGUUUGGCAUCAAUAUGGUGACCUCCCAGGAGUGGGAGACCACCAGGUUGCCUAAGGAGGGGUAAACUGGCCCAGGUCGGAAAACGGAGCAGGUCAAAACUCCCGUGCUGAUCAGUAGUGGGAUCGCGCCUGUGAAUGGUCACUGCACUCCAGCCUGGGCAUCAUAGCGAGACCCCAUCUCU